GGCGAUCAGAUACCGCCCUAGUUCUAACCGUAAACUAUGCCAACUAGCGAUCCGUCGGUGUUAAAUAUUGACUCGACGGGCAGCUUCCGGGAAACCAAAGUUUAUAGGUUCCGGGGGAAGUAUGGUUGCAAAGCUUAAACUUAAAGGAAUUGACGGAAGGGCACCACCAGGAGUGGAGCCUGCGGCUUAAUUUGACUCAACACGGGGAAACUCACCCGGCCAGGACACGAUAAGGAUUGACAGAUUGAUAGCUCUUUCUUGAUUUUGUGGGUGGUGGUGCAUGGCCGUUCUUAGUUGGUGGAGCGAUUUGUCUGGUUAAUUCCGAUAACGAACGAGACUCUAGCCUAUUAAAUAGACGAUAUAUCGAUUUUGUAUAUCGAGCUUCUUAGAGGGACGAGCAGCUUCUAGCUGCACGAGAUUGAGCAAUAACAGGUCUGUGAUGCCCUUAGAUGUCCGGGGCUGCACGCGCGCUACAAUGAAAAUAGCAGCGCGUUUCGAAAACCUUUUCUGGAAAGAAUUGGUAAACGCGAAAUAUUUUCGUGAUUGGGAUAGGGGAUUGCAAUUAUUGCCCUUGAACGAGGAAUUCCCAGUAAAUUCGAGUCAUCAGCUCGAGUUGAUUACGUCCCUGCCCUUUGUA
rnacentral:rRNA from 1 species